GACGAACGCUGGCGGCGUGCUUAACACAUGCAAGUAGAACGCUGAAGGCGGACUUUCCUCUUGUGGAAGAGUCGCGCACGUGUGUGUAACGCGUGUGUAACCUGCCUGGCAGUGGGGUAUAACUGUUGGACACGAUAGAUAAUACCGUAUAACAGUAGAGGUUGCAUGGCAUUUGCUUAAAAGGUGCAGUUGCGCCACUACCAGGUGGACCUGCGUUGUAUUAGGUUGGUGGUGGGGUAACGGCGCACCAAGGCGACGAUACAUAGCCGAGCUGCGAGGGUGAGCGGCCAGACUGGGACGGAGACACGCCCCAGACGCCUACGGGAGGCAGCAGUAGGGAAUCUGGGGGCAUGGGCGGAGAUCUGGCCAAGCAAGGCCGCGUGAGUGAGCAACGUUUCCGGGUGGUAGAUCUCGGUCGUAGGGGAAGAACCAGUGUGAGAGUGGGAAGUUCACACUGUGACGGUAUCUGACGAGAAAGCGACGGCUAACUACGUG
rnacentral:rRNA from 1 species